rnacentral:lncRNA from 1 species
UCAGGAACUUGAACUUAAAGUUAUGCCGUGGCUUCAGCAAAGGAAGCGGAAGCCUAGCCAUAUAGCAGCUUUGAACUGAGAGAGACGAACUGAAACACAACCCUGCUCCCGCCAUCCACCCCUUCUUUCUUUGUUCCUCCCCUGGCUGUGGCGUUCAACAGUUUGUGCCUUGGAGUCAAAAUCCAUGGUUCACUCGGUUGGAUCGCCAACUUUGCUGGUUUAACCAUCAACUCACCGGUUGAACCAAAAAAAAUAUUUUGGGGUGAAAGUGAAAGUCCGCAUUGCAACGUGGAAAAUAACGAAUUUUGCUGGACAGAAUAGUAAAGAGAAAAGAGCAAGAGAAAAGAGAAGGUCAGAGGAAGAGGAGAAAACAAAGUAUAAUGAAGAAGAACAAGAAACAGAUCGAAACAUCUUCAUAACGAUAAAGAUUUCAGAUUUCCGUUUCUCUAUGUGUGGGGUUUCCCGCCAAAUCAACCGGAGUUCCGACAAUCACUCACACCCAUGGCCGCUCGUCGGACAACUUGGAGUAUCCCGGUGAAAUCUUCGGUCUUCAUCUCCGUCAUUUCAGUCUUCCUCUUCCAGAAACUCGUGCCCCUUUUCCCCCGGACAGAAAACCUAACCCUAGUUUUCGAAAGCGGGGAAAGUAAGACCCUAGCUGCUGUGGGGAACAACUACAUAGUGCGAUUCAGG